ACGAACGCUGGCGGCAUGCCUCACCCCUGCCAGUCGCACGAGACCUUCGGGUCUAGUGGCGCACGGGUGCGUAACGCGUGGGAACCUGCCCUUAGGUUCGGAAUAACUCCCCGAAAGGGGUGCUAAUACCGGAUAAUGUCUUCGGACCAAAGAUUUAUCGCCUUUGGAUGGGCCCGCGUUGGAUUAGCUAGUUGGUAGGGUAAAAGCCUACCAAGGCGACGAUCCAUAGCUGGUCUGAGAGGAUGAUCAGCCACACUGGGACUGAGACACGGCCCAGACUCCUACGGGAGGCAGCAGUGGGGAAUAUUGGACAAUGGGCGAAAGCCUGAUCCAGCAAUGCCGCGUGAGUGAUGAAGGCCUUAGGGUUGUAAAGCUCUUUUACCCGGGAUGAUAAUGACAGUACCGGGAGAAUAAGCGCCGGCUAACUCCGUG
rnacentral:rRNA from 1 species